rnacentral:tRNA from 1 species
GCCAGGGUGGCGGAGCGGUCCAACGCGCCUGCCUCGAGAGCAGGUUCCCGCAAGGGAGCAGAGGUUCGAAUCCUCUCCCUGGCG